UUAAGCGACUAAGCGUACACGGUGGAUGCCCUGGCAGUCAGAGGCGAUGAAGGACGUGCUAAUCUGCGAAAAGCGUCGGUAAGGUGAUAUGAACCGUUAUAACCGGCGAUGUCCGAAUGGGGAAACCCAGUGUGAUUCGUCACACUAUCGUUAACUGAAUACAUAGGUUAACGAGGCGAACCGGGGGAACUGAAACAUCUAAGUACCCCGAGGAAAAGAAAUCAACCGAGAUUCCCCCAGUAGCGGCGAGCGAACGGGGAGCAGCCCAGAGUCUGAAUCAGCUUGUGUGUUAGUGGAACGGUCUGGAAAGUCCGACGGUACAGGGUGAUAGUCCCGUACACCAAAAUGCACAGGUUGUGAACUCGAAGAGUAGGGCGGGACACGUGGUAUCCUGUCUGAAUAUGGGGGGACCAUCCUCCAAGGCUAAAUACUCCUGACUGACCGAUAGUGAACCAGUACCGUGAGGGAAAGGCGAAAAGAACCCCGGCGAGGGGAGUGAAAAAGAACCUGAAACCGUGUACGUACAAGCAGUGGGAGCACCUUCGGGUGUGACUGCGUACCUUUUGUAUAAUGGGUCAGCGACUUAUAUUCUGUAGCAAGGUUAACCGUAUAGGGGAGCCGCAGGGAAACCGAGUCUUAACUGGGCGUUAAGUUGCAGGGUAUAGACCCGAAACCCGGUGAUCUAGCCAUGGGCAGGUUGAAGGUUGGGUAACACUAACUGGAGGACCGAACCGACUAAUGUUGAAAAAUUAGCGGAUGACUUGUGGCUGGGGGUGAAAGGCCAAUCAAACCGGGAGAUAGCUGGUUCUCCCCGAAAGCUAUUUAGGUAGCGCCUCGUGAAUUCAUCUUCGGGGGUAGAGCACUGUUUCGGCUAGGGGGGUCAUCCCGACUUACCAACCCGAUGCAAACUACGAAUACCGAAGAAUGUUAUCACGGGAGACACACGGCGGGUGCUAACGUCCGUCGUGAAGAGGGAAACAACCCAGACCGCCAGCUAAGGUCCCAAAGUCAUGGUUAAGUGGGAAACGAUGUGGGAAGGCACAGACAGCCAGGAUGUUGGCUUAGAAGCAGCCAUCAUUUAAAGAAAGCGUAAUAGCUCACUGGUCGAGUCGGCCUGCGCGGAAGAUGUAACGGGGCUAAACCAUGCACCGAAGCUGCGGCAGCGACACUAUGUGUUGUUGGGUAGGGGAGCGUUCUGUAAGCCUGCGAAGGUGUGCUGUGAGGCAUGCUGGAGGUAUCAGAAGUGCGAAUGCUGACAUAAGUAACGAUAAAGCGGGUGAAAAGCCCGCUCGCCGGAAGACCAAGGGUUCCUGUCCAACGUUAAUCGGGGCAGGGUGAGUCGACCCCUAAGGCGAGGCCGAAAGGCGUAGUCGAUGGGAAACAGGUUAAUAUUCCUGUACUUGGUGUUACUGCGAAGGGGGGACGGAGAAGGCUAUGUUAGCCGGGCGACGGUUGUCCCGGUUUAAGCAUGUAGGCUGGUUGUCCAGGCAAAUCCGGAUAAUCAAGGCUGAGGUGUGAUGACGAGGCACUACGGUGCUGAAGUAACAAAUGCCCUGCUUCCAGGAAAAGCCUCUAAGCAUCAGGUAACAUCAAAUCGUACCCCAAACCGACACAGGUGGUCAGGUAGAGAAUACCAAGGCGCUUGAGAGAACUCGGGUGAAGGAACUAGGCAAAAUGGUGCCGUAACUUCGGGAGAAGGCACGCUGGUGUGUAGGUGAAGUCCCUGCGGAUGGAGCUGAGACCAGUCGAAGAUACCAGCUGGCUGCAACUGUUUAUUAAAAACACAGCACUGUGCAAACACGAAAGUGGACGUAUACGGUGUGACGCCUGCCCGGUGCCGGAAGGUUAAUUGAUGGGGUUAUCCGUAAGGAGAAGCUCUUGAUCGAAGCCCCGGUAAACGGCGGCCGUAACUAUAACGGUCCUAAGGUAGCGAAAUUCCUUGUCGGGUAAGUUCCGACCUGCACGAAUGGCGUAAUGAUGGCCAGGCUGUCUCCACCCGAGACUCAGUGAAAUUGAACUCGCUGUGAAGAUGCAGUGUACCCGCGGCAAGACGGAAAGACCCCGUGAACCUUUACUAUAGCUUGACACUGAACAUUGAGCCUUGAUGUGUAGGAUAGGUGGGAGGCUUUGAAGCGUGGACGCCAGUCUGCGUGGAGCCAACCUUGAAAUACCACCCUUUAAUGUUUGAUGUUCUAACGUUGGCCCCUUACCGGGGUUGCGGACAGUGUCUGGUGGGUAGUUUGACUGGGGCGGUCUCCUCCCAAAGCGUAACGGAGGAGCACGAAGGUUAGCUAAUCCUGGUCGGACAUCAGGAGGUUAGUGCAAUGGCAUAAGCUAGCUUGACUGCGAGCGUGACGGCGCGAGCAGGUGCGAAAGCAGGUCAUAGUGAUCCGGUGGUUCUGAAUGGAAGGGCCAUCGCUCAACGGAUAAAAGGUACUCCGGGGAUAACAGGCUGAUACCGCCCAAGAGUUCAUAUCGACGGCGGUGUUUGGCACCUCGAUGUCGGCUCAUCACAUCCUGGGGCUGAAGUAGGUCCCAAGGGUAUGGCUGUUCGCCAUUUAAAGUGGUACGCGAGCUGGGUUUAGAACGUCGUGAGACAGUUCGGUCCCUAUCUGCCGUGGGCGCUGGAGAAUUGAGGGGGGCUGCUCCUAGUACGAGAGGACCGGAGUGGACGCAUCACUGGUGUUCGGGUUGUCAUGCCAAUGGCACUGCCCGGUAGCUAAAUGCGGAAGAGAUAAGUGCUGAAAGCAUCUAAGCACGAAACUUGCCCCGAGAUGAGUUCUCCCUGAGACUUUAAGUCUCCUGAAGGAACGUUAAAGACGAUGACGUUGAUAGGCCGGGUGUGUAAGCGCAGCGAUGCGUUGAGCUAACCGGUACUAAUGAACCGUGAGGCUUAACCUU
rnacentral:rRNA from 2 species